rnacentral:lncRNA from 1 species
GCAAUGGUGUGGCAUAAAAGCUGUUAUAAUGGUCAAUAUAUGGCCCCAUGUCUCAAUGCAAAUGAAUAUUUUUGUUGAACCGGAUAAGCAUAAAUUGAUACCUGAUCAACCAACUAUAGGAAAUACCUGCAGGUGGACCAUGGCGAUGUUAUUAUAUAUGGUCAAUAAAUUAUAUUUAAGUUUAUCAACCAUGUUUAUUGACCACAGUAUUGGUCAAUUAUAUGAAUACAUUAGACUUGAUGACUUUAGUCCUUUGUAAAUGGGCUCCUAUCAGCAAAGUAAAUCAAAGAUUAAUAGCAUGAAAAAUGAUUUCAUUAAAGACAAUAACAGCUAGAGGAAGAAGCAACAGCAACCAACAGUCAUAACAAGAAGACAAGUAACAGCUAUCCUUGAAUAUUCAUUAAUAGACAG